rnacentral:lncRNA from 1 species
GGGCAGGGGACGGGCGCCGCCGAAGGUCCCGAAGGUAGCCUGCUGAAGCCCAGCAGGGGGCUCGGACGUCGCCCCGCCCCGGAACAUGGACGCAGGCUUCCCGCACCACCUUGGGGCAGACCUCCGCGGCCACCCCGGCCCCAUGUCCACUACCAGAGCAAAGCCCACGACAGUGGCCAGCCUUGCCACUCCCGGGACAGAAGCAGUGCCCCUCGGCCAAUGGCUCGGAGGAGGUUAGGAGCGACCUGCAGAUACCUGAUGGCCUUUGGCAAUUGGGAACUUUAUGGAACCGGGAUCAAGACUCAGGACCCAGGGGGCAGGUCUGAAAUACGGCUGAUUGGGUUUGCUCUUAACAAACAUAUGAUCAUCUCACAGACAUAAUAUCUCAUCCUGUUUUGUUAUCGAAACAUCACCUACGAUUUUGAAGGUGGUUCUCUUCAAAGAAACAACCAGAGAGCUCAGAUGCUAAGGGGAGGAGCCUGUGGGGAGCUAAGUCCUGGAAAGCUGUGUGUGCCUGUGAUCCUGGCUACUCCAUAGGAUGAGGCAGGAAGAUCUGGAAAGUUCAAGGCCAGCUCAAGCACCUUAGCUGGAAGUUCCAGGAGUCCAUAGGAAAGACAAUGGAGACACAUUCACUGAAGGGAUCAAACUUGGGUCCUUGCGCUUGCGGGGCAGUCGGCAGAACCACUGAGCUAAAUCCCCCGCCCUCUUGCCACUUUGCACAGCUUGCUGGAAGGGACAGAUGACCGAGAAAGCCACCAGCAGGGUUUGAGAACCUGACUUCCGGCAUUUGCCGCCUGGCAGUGGAACCGUCCCACCUGAUGACGCAGUUCCUGUCUCUCUGGCCGCUGUAAUACUUGUCCUUCUUACUGGAAAACAG